rnacentral:misc_RNA from 1 species
GAUGAAGAACGUAGUGAAAUGCGAUACUUGGUGUGAAUUGCAGAAUCCCGCGAAUCAUCGAGUUUUUGAACGCAAGUUGCGCCCGAAGUCAUUCGGCCGAGGGCACGUCUGCCUGGGUGUCACGCAUCGUUGCCCCCCCAAACUCCGGUUCGGGCGGGGCGGAAGUUGGCCUCCCGUGCGUGCCUGCGCGCGCGGUUAGCCCAAAAGCGAGUCCUCGGCGACGAGCGCCACGACAAUCGGUGGUUUUUUUACCCUCGUUCCUCGUCGUGCGUGUCCCGUCGCCCGAACGCGCUCUUGUGACCCUCACGCGUCGCCUCGGCGGCGCUCCCAACGCGACCCCAGGUCAGGCGGGACUACCCGCUGAGUUUAAGCAUAUCAAUAAGCGGAGGA